GAGGAGUUACGCAGGCAGGGUUGUGGUUGCUGGCUGUUACCAGGACAACCGGAGGCGAUUGACCGUUAUCUGCGGUUUGGAGCCGUUAGCGGGAGAGGCAGAGAUAUUCAGAGUGAAUUGAAAAGACAGGAUGAAGUGGACACAGCAUGUGAAGACAAUUCUUUCAAGAAGUUUGGCUGUCAAGGAAAACAGAGAAUGUGCUAAAGAACAUACAGACACAGAGCAGACAGGCCACCUUUGCAACCACAUGGAGGUUUGUCUGAUAUUGAAGCUAAAGAAGCUAAGCUGGAAGACAGAGAGACCAAGUCCUGAUGACAUUGUUUGAACCCAGAGAUCCAGACAUGCCUGAAAACUAGUUUUACCACUGGACUUAUCCGUUGAAUGAGCCAAUAAACUCUCUUUUAUACUUAA
rnacentral:lncRNA from 1 species